GAAGAUGUAACGGGGCUAAACCAUGCACCGAAGCUGCGGCAGCGAACGUAUCACCCAAGACAACUUUACGGAGUUGACGAUUGACGGAGCGAAGCGACGUCAAAGCGUUCAUUAAAGUCGAGUUGGCUUAGGGAUACGUUCGUUGGGUAGGGGAGCGUUCUGUAAGCCUGUGAAGGUGUGUCGUGAGGCAUGCUGGAGGUAUCAGAAGUGCGAAUGCUGACAUAAGUAACGAUAAAGCGGGUGAAAAGCCCGCUCGCCGGAAGACCAAGGGUUCCUGUCCAACGUUAAUCGGGGCAGGGUGAGUCGACCCCUAAGGCGAGGCCGAAAGGCGUAGUCGAUGGGAAACGGGUUAAUAUUCCCGUACUUGGUGUUACUGCGAAGGGGGGACGGAGAAGGCUAUGUUGGCCGGGCGACGGUUGUCCCGGUUUAAGCGUGUAGGUGUGUGUUCCAGGUAAAUCCGGUUCACUUUAACACUGAGGCGUGACGACGAGGCACUACGGUGCUGAAGCAACAAAUGCCCUGCUUCCAGGAAAAGCCUCUAAGCAUCAGGUAACAUCAAAUCGUACCCCAAACCGACACAGGUGGUCAGGUAGAGAAUACCAAGGCGCUUGAGAGAACUCGGGUGAAGGAACUAGGCAAAAUGGUGCCGUAACUUCGGGAGAAGGCACGCUGACACGUAGGUGAAGUGAUUUACUCAUGGAGCUGAAGUCAGUCGAAGAUACCAGCUGGCUGCAACUGUUUAUUAAAAACACAGCACUGUGCAAACACGAAAGUGGACGUAUACGGUGUGACGCCUGCCCGGUGCCGGAAGGUUAAUUGAUGGGGUCAGCGCAAGCGAAGCUCCUGAUCGAAGCCCCGGUAAACGGCGGCCGUAACUAUAACGGUCCUAAGGUAGCGAAAUUCCUUGUCGGGUAAGUUCCGACCUGCACGAAUGGCGUAAUGAUGGCCAGGCUGUCUCCACCCGAGACUCAGUGAAAUUGAACUCGCUGUGAAGAUGCAGUGUACCCGCGGCAAGACGGAAAGACCCCGUGAACCUUUACUAUAGCUUGACACUGAACAUUGAGCCUUGAUGUGUAGGAUAGGUGGGAGGCUUUGAAGUGUGGACGCCAGUCUGCAUGGAGCCGACCUUGAAAUACCACCCUUUAAUGUUUGAUGUUCUAACGUGGACCCGUAAUCCGGGUUGCGGACAGUGUCUGGUGGGUAGUUUGACUGGGGCGGUCUCCUCCUAAAGAGUAACGGAGGAGCACGAAGGUUGGCUAAUCCUGGUCGGACAUCAGGAGGUUAGUGCAAUGGCAUAAGCCAGCUUGACUGCGAGCGUGACGGCGCGAGCAGGUGCGAAAGCAGGUCAUAGUGAUCCGGUGGUUCUGAAUGGAAGGGCCAUCGCUCAACGGAUAAAAGGUACUCCGGGGAUAACAGGCUGAUACCGCCCAAGAGUUCAUAUCGACGGCGGUGUUUGGCACCUCGAUGUCGGCUCAUCACAUCCUGGGGCUGAAGUAGGUCCCAAGGGUAUGGCUGUUCGCCAUUUAAAGUGGUACGCGAGCUGGGUUUAGAACGUCGUGAGACAGUUCGGUCCCUAUCUGCCGUGGGCGCUGGAGAACUGAGGGGGGCUGCUCCUAGUACGAGAGGACCGGAGUGGACGCAUCACUGGUGUUCGGGUUGUCAUGCCAAUGGCACUGCCCGGUAGCUAAAUGCGGAAGAGAUAAGUGCUGAAAGCAUCUAAGCACGAAACUUGCCCCGA
rnacentral:rRNA from 1 species